rnacentral:rRNA from 1 species
GAAGCUGCGGGGUAGGGGAGCGUUCUGUAAGCCGUUGAAGGUGACCUGUGAGGG